GUGGUGUAGGGUAGUUCCAGUAAUGAGGACUCAAGAAACUUUGGAUAUUGUGUUGAUGAUAGAAGAACAGGGGAGACCGAGACAUUGGCAUUCAGAUUUACUGAUCUCUUCAUGAGAUUUGCUUGACUCUAAUGGACUUUGGCCAUCUUGGCGAAGCUGUAAAGUGUUCAAUGUUGCAGUGGAUUCCAAGAGAUGUUUAUCUAGCUGUGGAAUGGGUGUUCUUCUCAGCUUUUAGAGGGAUGUGAUCGAAAGACUGGGUGUCAAAACCCCCUUCUCUCUAUACUAUUUUCCUAGUAUUCAUUAUUGAAUUGGCUAGGAGUUUUUGUCUCCUUUUCUUUUGUUUUUUCUCUGGUUUAUUCCUGGCUUCAUUUUCGCUUCCUUUGACAUGCCCAGUUUGGUUAAGUGAGGAAGAUGCUGAUGUUUGGUGCCUGUUGAAGCAAGUGGUUUCAGGAUUGCUGAAAAGGGUUCCUGGAGGGACUAACAAGGUGGCUAUUUUGCUGGCUAGCUGUCUUUACUGGAGUUUGAGUUUUGGUGUUAGGGAUUCAUUCCCCCCACCCUCGUUUUACUUUGUUUCUCUUGUCGAUGUUACUGGUAUAGGUUAGAUUGUUUCCGUUUGUGUUCGUCUUUUUGCUGGUUUUGUUUUGUUUAUUCCUGAACCGGUGUGUUAAGUUUCAGUUUCUUUGAAGUAAUAUAGUUUUUUUUUUCGGCCAAAAAAA